rnacentral:rRNA from 1 species
GCAAGNUUNNCCGGGAAUNAUUGGGNGUAAAGAGCUNGUAGGUGGUUUGUUACGUCGGUUGUGAAAUUCAGGGGCUCAACCCCNGACUUGCAGCCGAUACGGGCAAGCUAGAGUUUGGUAGGGGAGACUGGAAUUCCUGGUGUAGCGGUGGAAUGCGCAGAUAUCAGGAGGAACACCAAUGGCGAAGGCAGGUCUCUGGGCCAUAACUGACACUGAGGAGCGAAAGCGCGGGGAGCGAACAGGAUUAGAUACCNUGGUAGUCCGCGCCGUAAACGGUGGGCACUAGCUGUGAGGACCUUCCACGGUCUUCGCGACGCAGCAAACGCAUUAAGUGCCCCGCCUGGGGAGUACGAUCGCAAGAUUAAAACUCAAAGGAAUUGACGGGGCCCCGCACAAGCAGCGGAGCAUGCGGCUUAAUUCGACGCAACGCGAAGAACCUUACCAAGGCUUGACAUAUAGCGAAAAGUGGCAGAGAUGUCAUGUCCGCAAGGGCGCUAUACAGGUGGUGCAUGGUUGUCGUCAGCUCGUGUCGUGAGAUGUUGGGUUAAGUCCCGCAACGAGCGCAACCCUCGUUCUGUGUUACCAGCAUUCAGUUGGGGACUCACAGGAGACUGCCGGGGUUAACUCGGAGGAAGGUGGGGAUGACGUCAAAUCAUCAUGCCCCUUAUGUCUUGGGCUGCACGCAUGCUACAAUGGCCGGUACAAAGUGCUGCGAAAUCGUAGGAUUUAGCGAAUCACAUAAAGCCGGUCUCAGUUCGGAUUGAGGUCUGCAACUCGACCUCAUGAAGUUGGAGUUGCUAGUAAUCGUAGAUCGGCAACGCUACGGUGAAUACGUUCCCGGGGCUUGUACACACCGCCCGUCACGUCACGAAAGUCGGUAACACCCAAAGUUAGUGGCCCAACCGCAAGGAGGGAGCUACCUAAGGUGGGAUCGGUGAUUGGGACG